AAGCGAGAUCGAGAGAUGGAGCAAAUCCCAAAAAUAACGUCCCAGUUCGGACUGUAGUCUGCAACCCGACUACACGAAGCUGGAAUCGCUAGUAAUCGCGGAUCAGAAUGCCGCGGUGAAUACGUUCCCGGGUCUUGUACACACCGCCCGUCACACCAUGGGAGUCAGUAACGCCCGAAGUCAGUGACCUAACCGCAAGGGGGACGCUGCCGAAGGUAGGAUUGGCGACUGGGGUGAAGUCGUAACAAGGUAAC
rnacentral:rRNA from 1 species